CCUAGGGAGGCUGCAGUGGGGAAUAUUGGACAAUGGGGGAAACCCUGAUCCAGCAAUGCCGCGUGUGUGAAGAAGGCCUGCGGGUUGUAAAGCACUUUCGGUUGGGAGGACUGCUUCUAGCACUAAUAUUGUUGGAAGUUGACGUUACCUUCAGAAGAAGCACCGGCUAACUCCGUGCCAGCAGCCGCGGUAAUACGGAGGGUGCAAGCGGUAAUCGGAAUUACUGGGCGUAAAGCGCGCGUAGGCGGCUAGAUCAGUCGGGUGUGAAAGCCCCGGGCUUAACCUGGGAACUGCAUCCGAUACUGUCUAGCUUGAGUACAGGAGAGGAGAGUGGAAUUCCACAUGUAGCGGUGAGAUGCGUAGAUAUGUGGAGGAACACCAAUGGCGAAGGCAGCUCUCUGGCCUGAUACUGACGCUGAGGUGCGAAAGCGUGGGGAGCAAACAGGAUUAGAUACCCCCGUAGUC
rnacentral:rRNA from 1 species